rnacentral:rRNA from 1 species
CUAAGCGCGAAACUUGCCUCAAGAUGAGUCUUCCCUGGGCCUUUAAGGCCCCUGAAGGAACGUUUAAGACUAAGACGUUGAUAGGCUGGGUGUGUAAGUGCAGCGAUGCAUUGAGCUAACCAGUACUAAUGAUCCGUGAGGCUUAACCUUACAACACCGAAG